rnacentral:rRNA from 1 species
AGAGUUUGAUCCUGGCUCAGGAUGAACGCUGGCGGCGUGCCUAAUACAUGCAAGUCGAGCGAACGGACGAGAAGCUUGCUUCUCUGAUGUUAGCGGCGGACGGGUGAGUAACACGUGGAUAACCUACCUAUAAGACUGGGAUAACUUCGGGAAACCGGAGCUAAUACCGGAUAAUAUUUUGAACCGCAUGGUUCAAAAGUGAAAGACGGUCUUGCUGUCACUUAUAGAUGGAUCCGCGCUGCAUUAGCUAGUUGGUAAGGUAACGGCUUACCAAGGCAACGAUGCAUAGCCGACCUGAGAGGGUGAUCGGCCACACUGGAACUGAGACACGGUCCAGACUCCUACGGGAGGCAGCAGUAGGGAAUCUUCCGCAAUGGGCGAAAGCCUGACGGAGCAACGCCGCGUGAGUGAUGAAGGUCUUCGGAUCGUAAAACUCUGUUAUUAGGGAAGAACAUAUGUGUAAGUAACUGUGCACAUCUUGACGGUACCUAAUCAGAAAGCCACGGCUAACUACGUGCCAGCAGCCGCGGUAAUACGUAGGUGGCAAGCGUUAUCCGGAAUUAUUGGGCGUAAAGCGCGCGUAGGCGGUUUUUUAAGUCUGAUGUGAAAGCCCACGGCUCAACCGUGGAGGGUCAUUGGAAACUGGAAAACUUGAGUGCAGAAGAGGAAAGUGGAAUUCCAUGUGUAGCGGUGAAAUGCGCAGAGAUAUGGAGGAACACCAGUGGCGAAGGCGACUUUCUGGUCUGUAACUGACGCUGAUGUGCGAAAGCGUGGGGAUCAAACAGGAUUAGAUACCCUGGUAGUCCACGCCGUAAACGAUGAGUGCUAAGUGUUAGGGGGUUUCCGCCCCUUAGUGCUGCAGCUAACGCAUUAAGCACUCCGCCUGGGGAGUACGACCGCAAGGUUGAAACUCAAAGGAAUUGACGGGGACCCGCACAAGCGGUGGAGCAUGUGGUUUAAUUCGAAGCAACGCGAAGAACCUUACCAAAUCUUGACAUCCUUUGACAACUCUAGAGAUAGAGCCUUCCCCUUCGGGGGACAAAGUGACAGGUGGUGCAUGGUUGUCGUCAGCUCGUGUCGUGAGAUGUUGGGUUAAGUCCCGCAACGAGCGCAACCCUUAAGCUUAGUUGCCAUCAUUAAGUUGGGCACUCUAAG